rnacentral:rRNA from 1 species
GACAGAGGUCCCGAGCGUUAUGCGGAAUCACUGGGCUUAAAGCGUGUGUAGGCGGCGGCCUAAGUACCUUGUGAAAUCCCACGGCUCACCCGUGGAACUGCUCGGUAUACUGGGUCGCUUGAGCCACUUAGGGGCUACCGGAACAAAUGGUGGAGCGGUGAAAUGCGUAGAUAUCAUGUGGAACGCCAAUGGUGAAAACAGGUAGCUGGGAGUGUGCUGACGCUGAGACACGAAAGCCAGGGGAGCAAACGGG